CCGGCACGGGUGAGUAACGCGUAUGCGACCUGCCCGUUGCAGGGGGAUAAUCGGGAGAAAUCCCGUCUAAUACCGCGUAACGCCGCGGGGCUGCAUGGCCCUGCGGCCAAAGGGAGCGAUUCCGGCAACGGAUGGGCAUGCGUGACAUUAGCUAGUUGGCGGGGCAACGGCCCACCAAGGCGACGAUGUCUAGGGGUUCUGAGAGGAAGGUCCCCCACACUGGUACUGAGACACGGACCAGACUCCUACGGAAGGCAGCAG
rnacentral:rRNA from 1 species